AUGAUUUAUGCAGAGGCUAGGAUUCCUCAGUGCAGGGGCUUCAAUCGCCGCUGGAGUAUGGAGGAUCUGCUGUCAGAUACGCGUUAUGUCAUGGAUCUGGAGAGUGCUUCGACGGGGUUUCAUCAACGGCCGAUACACGUUGAAGGGAGGCUGGUCGGACUGCUUGUGCGUGAGGGGGAGAACAGAGCAUUGGAGAGAGUUGUUGUCGAAAUGACUAUUCAUCAAUUAUUUUUCCUGUUCUCACUGAAACACAAAGCUAUGUACCAAUUGUUAGUGAAUUGA